CUUGGUCAUUUAGAGGAAGUAAAAGUCGUAACAAGGUCUCCGUUGGUGAACCAGCGGAGGGAUCAUUACAGAGUUGCAAAACUCCCAACCAUUGUGAACCUACCUCACCGUUGCUUCGGCGGGUGGCUCGGGGUAACCCCGGCCGCGCCGGCUCCUCUUCAGGGGCCCGGCAAACCCGUCAGAGGACCGAAACCCUUCGUUAUCAGUGGCCUCUCUGAGUAACUUAUACAAUAAGUCAAAACCUUCAACAACGGAUCUCUUGGCUCUCGCAUCGAUGAAGAACGCAGCGAAAUGCGAUACGUAAUGUGAAUUGCAGAAUUCAGUGAAUCAUCGAAUCUUUGAACGCAUAUUGCGCUCUUUGGUAUUCCGAAGAGCAUGCUUGUUUGAGUAUCAGUAAACACCUCAAAGCCUUUUUUCUUUUUUGAAGAAAGGCUUUGGACUUGAGCAAUCCCAACACCAAUCUUUUAAAGAGAGGGGGCGGGUUGCUUGAAAUGCAGGUGCAGCUGGACAUUCUCCUGAGCUAAAAGCAUAUUCAUUUAGUCCUGUCAAACGGAUUAUUACUUUUGCUGCAGCUAAUAUAAAGGGAGUUUGACCAUUUUGGCUGACUGAUGCAGGAUUUUCACAAGAGUCUUCAAAACCUCUUGUUAAGCUCGAUCUCAAAUCAAGUAAGACUACCCGCUGAACUUAAGCAUAUCAAUAAGCGGAGGAAAAGAAACUAACAAGGAUUCCCCUAGUAACGGCGAGUGAAGCGGGAUGAGCUCAAAUUUAAAAUCUGGCUGGUUUACUAGUCCGAAUUGUAGUUUAUAGAAGCGUUUUCGGUGGCAGCCUGGGUAUAAAUCCUUUGGAAUAGGGUAUCAUAGAGGGUGAGAAUCCCGUCUUUGACUCAGUGCAUGCUACUAUGUGAUACGUUUUCAAAGAGUCGAGUUGUUUGGGAAU
rnacentral:sRNA from 1 species